GAUCAUGGCUCAGAACGAACGCUGGCGGCAUGGAUUAGGCAUGCAAGUCGAACGAAGUAGCAAUACUUAGUGGCGCAAGGGUGAGGAACGCGUGAGUGACCUACCCGCAAGUUUGGAACAGCUCCUGGAAACGGGAAUUAAUACCGGAUGUGAUCAAUGAGCUGCAUGGUUUAUUGAUUAAAGCAGUAAUGCGCUUGCGGAUGGGCUCGCGUCCCAUUAGCUAGUUGGUGAGGUAACGGCCCACCAAGGCCAUGAUGGGUAGCUGGUCUGAGAGGGCGACCAGCCACACUGGGACUGAGAACUGCCCAGACUCCUACGGGAGGCUGCAGUCGAGAAUUUUGGGCAAUGGACGAAAGUCUGACCCAGCAAUGCCGCGUGCGGGAUGAAGGUCUUCGGAUUGUAAACCGCUGUUUGGAGGGACGAAAAUUGACGGUACUUCCAGAGAAAGCCACGGCUAACUACGUGCCAGCCGCCGC
rnacentral:rRNA from 1 species